CGGGACACGUGGUAUCCUGUCUGAAUAUGGGGGGACCAUCCUCCAAGGCUAAAUACUCCUGACUGACCGAUAGUGAACCAGUACCGUGAGGGAAAGGCGAAAAGAACCCCGGCGAGGGGAGUGAAAAAGAACCUGAAACCGUGUACGUACAAGCAGUGGGAGCACGCUUAGGCGUGUGACUGCGUACCUUUUGUAUAAUGGGUCAGCGACUUAUAUUCUGUAGCAAGGUUAACCGAAUAGGGGAGCCGAAGGGAAACCGAGUCUUAACUGGGCGUUAAGUUGCAGGGUAUAGACCCGAAACCCGGUGAUCUAGCCAUGGGCAGGUUGAAGGUUGGGUAACACUAACUGGAGGACCGAACCGACUAAUGUUGAAAAAUUAGCGGAUGACUUGUGGCUGGGGGUGAAAGGCCAAUCAAACCGGGAGAUAGCUGGUUCUCCCCGAAAGCUAUUUAGGUAGCGCCUCGUGAAUUCAUCUCCGGGGGUAGAGCACUGUUUCGGCAAGGGGGUCAUCCCGACUUACCAACCCGAUGCAAACUGCGAAUACCGGAGAAUGUUAUCACGGGAGACACACGGCGGGUGCUAACGUCCGUCGUGAAGAGGGAAACAACCCAGACCGCCAGCUAAGGUCCCAAAGUCAUGGUUAAGUGGGAAACGAUGUGGGAAGGCCCAGACAGCCAGGAUGUUGGCUUAGAAGCAGCCAUCAUUUAAAGAAAGCGUAAUAGCUCACUGGUCGAGUCGGCCUGCGCGGAAGAUGUAACGGGGCUAAACCAUGCACCGAAGCUGCGGCAGCGACGCUUAUGCGUUGUUGGGUAGGGGAGCGUUCUGUAAGCCUGCGAAGGUGUGCUGUGAGGCAUGCUGGAGGUAUCAGAAGUGCGAAUGCUGACAUAAGUAACGAUAAAGCGGGUGAAAAGCCCGCUCGCCGGAAGACCAAGGGUUCCUGUCCAACGUUAAUCGGGGCAGGGUGAGUCGACCCCUAAGGCGAGGCCGAAAGGCGUAGUCGAUGGGAAACAGGUUAAUAUUCCUGUACUUGGUGUUACUGCGAAGGGGGGACGGAGAAGGCUAUGUUGGCCGGGCGACGGUUGUCCCGGUUUAAGCGUGUAGGCUGGUUUUCCAGGCAAAUCCGGAAAAUCAAGGCUGAGGCGUGAUGACGAGGCAC
rnacentral:rRNA from 1 species